rnacentral:rRNA from 1 species
CAGAACGAACGUUGGCGGCGUGGAUUAGGCAUGCAAGUCGAGCGGUAAGGCUCCUUCGGGAGUACACGAGCGGCGCAAGGGAGAGUUACGCGUGGUUUACCUGCCCUAGGGUCCAGAAUAGCUUCGGGAAACUGAAGGUAAUGCUGGAUAAUAUCUCCGGAUCAAAGGUGAGAUUCCGCCCUGGGAGGGGACCGCGUUCUAAUUAGCUUGUUGGUGGGGUAAAGGCCUACCAAGGCUCUGAUGGAUACCGGGUGUGAGAGCAUGACCCGGCUCACUGGGACUGAGACACUGCCCAGACACCUACGGGUGGCUGCAGUCGAGAAUCUUCGGCAAUGGGCGCAAGCCUGACCGAGCGACGCCGCGUGCGGGAUGAAGGCCUUCGGGUUGUAAACCGCUGUCAGUUGGGAGGAAAUCCUUGGGGGCACUCCCCCAUGGUUGACCUAUCUUCAGAGGAAGGACGGGCUAAGUUCGUGCCAGCAGCCGCGGUAAUACGAACCGUCCAAACGUUAUUCGGAAUCAUUGGGCUUAAAGGGUGCGUAGGCGGUGCGGUCAGUUGGGUGUGAAAUCCCUCGGCUCAACCGAGGAACUGCGCCCAAUACUGCCGUACUCGAGGGAGACAGAGGUAAGCGGAACUGAUGGUGGAGCGGUGAAAUGCGUUGAUAUCAUCAGGAACACCUGUGGCGAAAGCGGCUUACUGGGUCUCUUCUGACGCUGAGGCACGAAAGCUAGGGGAGCGAACGGGAUUAGAUACCCCGGUAGUCCUAGCUGUAAACGAUGAGCACUUGAUCGGAGACUCCUCCAUAGGUUUCCGGUCGUAGCGAAAGUGUUAAGUGCUCCGCCUGGGGAGUUGGUCGCAAGCCUGAAACUCAAAGGAAUUGACGGG